GCCGGAAGUGGGAGAAAUAUGUCCAGGAUGGGGAUUCGGUGCAACGAUUUGCUGGGUGCGUCCUGGCUACCGCUGCACACCUGCAUGCUUCGCGGCCCAGUAUCGGUUGGCGGCCUGGAAGUUGGGGAGCACUGGUUUAAGGAGGCGGAAGAGCGCAGAAGGAAGACAUUUGUGCCGUGAUUCUGUUGCAGAAAUCCCGAGAUGUGGGAGAGGGGCAGAUAAGGACCUAUCCACGGUUAUUCCAUGAGGGAACAGCAGUUCAUCGAGUACUUUGGAGAGAAACCAGCGGUAUUCUCAAGAGGAGGUCAGCUGACUGCCAUUGUCCAAAUACGAUUCGGGCCAUCAGACAGAGUCUCAGUGACAGAACCAGAUCCAGAGAACAUUCCUCCCCCGUGCAGCGUUACGGUCGAGGAGACGUCCAUGAGAAGAUUGUGAAGGAGCUGAAAAUCUGCCAGUGUGAAGGGCCAGGGGUUCCCUGUGUUCUGUUUGUGUACAAAGUGUCUCAUGAAAAUCAGGAUCUUUGAGAUGCCCUGCAGUGGGUCACAGGAGGUGAGACAGUGCGGAAGGAAGACAUUUGCUCUGUGAUUCUGUUGCAGAAAUCCGGAGAUUUUGGAGUAAACAAGAUGAUGACUGAUCCAGAGUUAUUCCAUGAGGGAACCAAUGUUUUUCAGAUAUUUUGGACAGAAAUGAGUGUCACGUGGACAAGUGCUGAUGAUUGCCACGCAGUGAUUCAGACCGUCAGACAGACUCUUGUCGACAAGACAAAAUCCAGAGGAGGGUCCUGUCCCGGGUCGAGCGAGGAUCCACAGGGCAGUGAGACGCUCAUUGUGCAAUGCGCCUACCUUGAUGUGCAGAGAGCAACCAGAUCAUUUGACAUCUUCAACCUGCACGCAAGUGAAGAGCGAAAAGAGCUCAGAGAAGCUUCAGGGUAACGUGCAAUGUUAUGGUCGAGGAGCCGUCCAUGAAGAGAUUGUGAAGCAGUUGAAUAUCAACGAGUGUGAAUGGCCAAGGAUUCCCUGUGUCCUGUUUGUCUACAAUGUAUAUCAUGAAAUUGAGGAUUUUCGAAAUGCCCUGCAGUGGGUCACAGGAGGCGGAAGAGCGUGAAAGGAAGACAUUUGUGCCGUGAUGGUGUUGCAGAAAUCCCUGGAUGUGGGAGAGGGGAAGAUAAGGACCUGUCCAGGGUUAUUCCAUGAAGGAACAGCAGUUCAAUUCCUCCAAAAUGAAGGCUUUUUUAAAUAAGAUUAAAUUUCCUCAAAUUACUGUUGAAGAUCAACAGAUCCUUGAUGCUCCAGUUACUGAACAUGAAAUUCAGAAAGCUGUGUUGUCAAUGCAAUCAGGUAAAGCACCAGAACUUGAUGGUUAUUCAGUAGGAUUUAAAAAAAUAUUUGAAAAAUUACUUUCAUCAUAUCUUUUGGAAAUAUUUCAUGAAUCUUUUGAGAAGGGUAAUUUACCUCCUUUUUAUGAAGCUUCUGUUUCCUUAAUCCUUAAGAAAGAUAAAGAUCCUAGCUGAAUGUUCAUCAUAUAGACCUAUUUCGCUAUUAAAUGUGGAUGCAUAAAUUCUUUUUCAGAUAAUGGUUAACCGUUUGGGAAAUAUUUUAACUAAAAUCAUCUCUGUGGAUCAAACAGACCUUAUUAAAGGCCGUUACUCUUUCUCCAAUGUUUGGAGAUCGAUGAACAUUAUAUACUCAUCACUAUAGGUUACUUCUCUUGACGCAUAAAAGGCAUUUUAUAGAGUUCAAUGGACAUAUCUGUUUAAUGUAUUAGAAAAAUUUGGCUUUGGUAAUAACUUUAAUAAUCCUAUUGGUACUGUUAUUACUAAUAAUUUCAGAUCUCCUUUUUUUCACUCUCACGAGGUAAGAGACAGAGAUGUCCAUUAAGUCCUUUAUUAUUUAAUCUUAUACUGGAGCCUUUGGCUAUAAUACUCCGUGAAGCUAAAAAUAUUCAUGGUAUCUCUAUAAAUGGGACCACACAUAAGAGUUUUCUUUACGCAGAUGAUCUUUUGGUUUAUAUUUCAAACCCUGAAGAAUCUAUUCAUAAUCUUUUGGAAAUAUUAAGUGAUUUUGGAAAAUUUUCAGGAUAAUAAACUUAAAUAAAAGUGAAUUGUUCCCUUUUAAUGCUCCUGUUUUUAUAUAUAACAAUAUUCCAUUCAGAGUUGUGAAUUCUUUUAAAUAUUUAGGUAUUAUCAUUACUAAAAUAUAUAAAGAUCUUUAUAAAGCUAAUGUAGUUCCUUUAAUGGACUCCAUGAAACAAUUAUUUUGUAGAUGGAUCCCACUUACACUUUCUUCAAUAGGUCAUAUUCAUGCCGUGAAAAUGAUGAUUUUACCUAGAUUUUUAUAUAUUUUUCAAAAUAUACCUAUCUUUUUGACUAAAAAAAAAUUUUGAUUAAAUUCUAUUAUUUCAUCCUUUAUUUGGAAUAAUAAAAAAACAAGAAUUAAUAAUCAUUUACAAAAAUCUUAAGAAGUUGGUGGACUUUCACUACCUAAUUUAAGAUUGUAUUACUGGGCUGUUAAUAUUUGACAAUUAUGGUUUUGGCUAUAUUGGCUUGAUAAGAGCCAAAAACCAGCUUGGAUUGAUUUGGAAUUAGAAGCUAUCAAACAAUUUCAUUUAACCUCAUUAUUAGGAGCUCCAUUACCUUUACAAUCUUGCUAAAAUUCCAGAUUUAAAUCUCUACCCUGUUAUUAAAUAGUCCUUACGGAUUUAGUUUCAGUUUCACAACUCUUUUAAUUUUAAACAAUUUAAAUUGUCUAGCUCUUUAUAUCGAAAUUUUCUAGUUAAACCAUCAAUAACCAAUCCCACUUUUCUCUUAUGGAGAAAUAACGGGAUCUGUUCUUCUGCAGAUUUAUUUUGUGAUGGUCGAUUGAUGACUUUUGAAGAGUUAAUUAACAAAUAUUCUCUCUCUCAGACACAUUUCCUGCAAUAUUUUCAGGUUAGAUAUUUUUUACAAAAAUACUUAUCUAAGUUUCCAUAUAUGCAAGAAUAUGAUUUGUUGGAUACUAUUUUGAAUAUGAAUCCUUUAGUGAGAGGUUCCACUGGUAGAAUUCAUAAUUUAUUUUUACUACAAAAAGAUAACCUCUCACUAAAGAUUAAACAAGAUUGGGAGAGAGAACUUAAUAUGAGCUUUGUUAAUGAAGAUUGUUUGUGAGUUUUGAAAAUGGUCAAUUCCUCUUCGAUGUGGAGUCUAGUACGAGAGGGAUUAAAGGGCGCCCAUUCAGAACAGAGAUGCGAAGAAAUUUUUUUAGCCAGAGGGUGGUGAAUCUAUGGAAUUUGUUGCCACCGGCAGCAGUGGAGGUCAAGUCAUUGGGUGUAUUUAAGGCAGAGAUAGGUGUCUGAGUAGCCAGGGCAUCAAAGUUUAUGGUGAGAAGGUGGGGGAGUGGGGCUGAAUGGGAGAAUAGAUCAGCUCAUGAUAAAUGGCGGAGCAGACUCGAUGGGCCGAAUGGCUGACUUCUGCUCCUUUGUCUGAUGGUCUUAUGGUCUUAUGUGCCAAUCACUGUUUAAUUCAAUUUAAAAUUGUUCAUCGUUAUUAUUUAACAAAAGAGAGACUAUCCAAAAUAUUUCCUAACAUAGACAACUAUUGUGAUGGGUGUAAAACUGAAGUAGCCACUUUUUCACAUAUGUUCUGACCAUGUUCUUCAUUAAAAUCUUUUUGAAAACCUUUAUUUUCUACAAUUUCUAAAGCUCUGAAAAUUAAUUUACAACUUAAUACAUUGACUGUCUUAUUUAGAAUCGUUCUACAUCAUAUUCAGGGUAUUUCAUCUUCAGACCAACAUAUAAUUGCAUUUGUUACAUUGUUGGCAAGAAGGGCUACUGUAUUUUAUUGAAAUGGAAAGACACCUCUGUCCCUACAUUAAUUCAAUGGUUUUCUCAAGUAAUGUUAUGUCUUAGCUUGGAAAAAAUUAGAAGUAGAACUUUUGAUCCUCAAUUCGAUUUUGAGAGAAGAUGGGGCUCUUUUGCCAAAUAUUAUCAUUUAAUUUGAAUUAAUUUGUAUAGUUUCCUUACAGUCUUAUAUAAAUGUGAGCUGGCAGUUGAUGAUUUUUCUCCUUUAUAUAUAUAUAUAUAGAUAGACAAUUGUAAGGUGUAUUGCUUCGGGAGUUAGUUCCUAAUGGUUUUUUUCUCUCUUUUAAUUCGUUUUCUUUUCCUUUCUCUUGUAGUUUGUAGGUUUUUUCUUUCAGUUAGUUGGGGUACUCUUUUUUCUUUAUUUUCUUUAUAAAAAUAACUUUUUUUUUCAUUAUCAUAUUCUUUUUUGAUAAGUUUUUUCUUCAGCUUUAUUAAAUGUACAUAUAUCAGUUUGUUGAAGUCUUGUAUCAUUUUAAAGCUGUAGAAGAUUAUGUAUCAACAAAAAGACUUUAAAAAUGAAAUGAGACAGAGUCUCAGUGACAGAACCAGAUCCAGAGAACAUUCCUCCCCCGGUGGAUAAAACCUGUCUCUCCCUGUCACGCCUCAUGCAUCACUGUAAGCUUCCCAUAUGGAAUAUGAGGAAUGUGAUUGAUAUGUGUCUUGGGUGGGAAAAUGAUGGAACGAACUAUGGUUGUUCAAUCAGUGACUGCUGCAGGAGGGAGUGAGGGUGGGAGGUUCGCAGUCCAAAAUGUCUUUGGGUCUGGAGAUCAAUUUAGCAACAAUUCCGAGCUUACAGGCUUCUGACUGAUGUGUGUGGUUUCCAGUAGGGCGGGACGACAAUCCGCCGGGCAACUUGACUUCAGUGGAGAAUGAACAAUUGGGUUGUUCGAUUUCUUCAGGAUGGAACCAACGGAAGAGAAGCAGGAAUUCGGAGAAGUGUAACAGUGAGAAUGCAAACUUGGGGCUUGCCCUGAGUGAUUGGGGCAGGAGUUGAGAAAUAUCAAGACUGCAGAGGCAGUAUGUUCCUGUCGAAGUGGAGGGUAAACCUGUCAAGAUGAGAGAUAUUCAAGCUUUGCUCAAGAAAAAUAUGGAAGAACAAGGUUCAAUUAGGUUAUUUCCCAGUGAAUCCCUUAACAUCAAAUGACUCAGAAUACUAUCAGGAGAGCAAAGAGAGAGGAUGUGAGAUGGAUCUAGAAGUUAAGGUUAAGGAAAAUCCCAAGAAGUUGUAUAGUGAUUAGCAUAAACUUUACAGUGGCAGCCGUGUGCGUCUAAUUGCCACCACUGCCUUUAAGGAGUUUGUACUUUCUCCCCGUGUCUGCAGUAGGUUUCCACUGAGUAUUCAGUUUCCUGCCAUUUUGCAAAGGGCGAGUGUUAGUAAGUUGAGGGCAUGCUACGUUGGCAGUGGAAUCAUAGUGACACGUACGGGCUCCCCCCAGUUCAUCCUUGUACUGUGUUGUUCAUUGACGCAAACAAGCAUUUCACUGAAUGUUUCAAUGAUUCAAUGUAGAAGUAACACAAAAACAGAUCUUUAAUCUGAUCUGUCACUAUUUUAAGAUUAAAAAGAUAAGUAAGGAGAAAUAGCUCACUUUAGAAGCACAGAAGGUCUGCUUAUGUCCUGAGCUGUAGGAAUAUGUUGGGAGAAAUUAACAUUUAGCAUGCUGACAUUCAUUAGUUGGGCAUUGAGUA